CAGCCGCCGCGGUAAUACCGGCGGCCCGAGUGGCGGCCACUUUUAUUGGGCCUAAAGCGUCCGUAGCCGGGCUGGUAAGUCCUCCGGGAAAUCUGGUCGCUUAACGAUCAGACUGCCGGAGGAUACUGCCAGCCUAGGGACCGGGAGAGGCCGGGGGUAUUCCCGGAGGAGGGGUGAAAUCCUAUAAUCCCGGGAGGACCACCUGUGGCGAAGGCGCUCGGCUGGAACGCGUCCGACGGUGAGGGACGAAGGCCAGGGGAGCAAACCGGAUUAGAUACCCGGGUAGUCCUGGCUGUAAACGAUGCGGACUUUGUGUCGGACAAGCUAUGAGCUUGUCCGGUGCCGGAGGGAAACCGUUAAGUCCGCCGCCUGGGGAGUACGGCCGCAAGGCUGAAACUUAAAGGAAUUGGCGGG
rnacentral:rRNA from 1 species